rnacentral:misc_RNA from 1 species
AUAAAUCCAUAAGUCCAUAAAAUUAUAAAUCCAUACUACAUAAAAUAUGCCAUGAAAUUAUAAAUCCAAAUUCUAAACUGCAUAGAAGUCCAUACAAACGGCAAACAUCACUUCAUAAACUAAUAAAAGUCUACACACAUAACACAUUUUGCCAUUCCUAUAUAAAAGUCCACACAUUAAAACACCAUACAUUACACACAGGUUAAGAGCAGCCCAUAAUGGAUUAAAAUCCAAUGCGAAAUAAGGUUCAUGAAGGAUUAAAAUCCAUGCAAAACACA